rnacentral:rRNA from 1 species
GUGUUGUUGGGUAGGGGAGCGUUCUGUAAGCCUGUGAAGGUGGCCUGUGAGGGUUGCUGGAGGUAUCAGAAGUGCGAAUGCUGACAUAAGUAACGAUAAAGCGGGUGAAAAGCCCGCUCGCCGGAAGACCAAGGGUUCCUGUCCAACGUUAAUCGGGGCAGGGUGAGUCGACCCCUAAGGCGAGGCCGAAAGGCGUAGUCGAUGGGAAACGGGUUAAUAUUCCCGUACUUGGUGUUACUGCGAAGGGGGGACGGAGAAGGCUAUGUUGGCCGGGCGACGGUUGUCCCGGUUUAAGCGUGUAGGUGUGUGUUCCAGGUAAAUCCGGUUCACUUUAACACUGAGGCGUGAUGACGAGGCACUACGGUGCUGAAGCAACAAAUGCCCUGCUUCCAGGAAAAGCCUCUAAGCAUCAGGUAACAUCAAAUCGUACCCCAAACCGACACAGGUGGUCAGGUAGAGAAUACCAAGGCGCUUGAGAGAACUCGGGUGAAGGAACUAGGCAAAAUGGUGCCGUAACU